AUUGAACGCUGGCGGCAUGCCUUACCCAUGCAAGUCGAACGGUAACGCGGGGCAACCUGGCGACGAGUGGCGAACGGGUGAGUAAUACAUCGGAACGUGCCCAGUAGUGGGGGGAUAGCCCGGCGAAAGCCGGAUUAAUACCGCAUACGACCUACGGGUGAAAGCAGGGGAUCGCAAGACCUUGCGCUAUUGGAGCGGCCGAUGUCAGAUUAGGUUGUUGGUGGGGUAAAAGCCUACCAAGCCGACGAUCUGUAGCUGGUCUGAGAGGACGACCAGCCACACUGGGACUGAGACACGGCCCAGACUCCUACGGAGGCAGCAGUGGGGAAUUUUGGACAAUGGGCGCAAGCCUGAUCCAGCCAUGCCGCGUGCGGGAAGAAGGCC
rnacentral:rRNA from 1 species